UAACCAUAUCUAUAGUUGAAAUCCAUUUUUUUUGUGAGAAUCAGUAAGGAGCGUGCAAAAUGCACUUUACAUUAUUGCUAUCAAGUUAACAUUACACCUUUUAGCACAGAGGCUUUAGAUGAAACAUUUGAAAUGAGCGUACUCCAACUACCUGAAAUCAAAUUAAGUUGUCUGUUGAAACAUACACAUAUAGACUAACACGUGGUGGUUCUAAUCAGUAUACAACUCCUUUAAAACGAAAAGAGGAAACCAGAUUUGUAUUAGCAUCUCUAACUACAUACAGGAACAGAGUUCAGAAUGUUCUGUAAUAGUAUUCGUAGUUGAAAUUCUUUUUUUUUUUUUUUUUUUUUUNNNNNNNNNNNNNNNNNNNNNNNNNNNNNNNNNNNNNNNNNNNNNNNNNNNNNNNNNNNNNNNNNNNNNNNNNNNNUCUUAAUACAGGAUCAUUCAAAUCUGGUUUUUUUUUUUUUUUUUUAAAUUUUUUUUUUUUUUUUUUUUUUUUUGUGCGCGAGUCAGUAACUAAUGUGCAGAAUGCACUUUUACAUUAUUUCUUGUAGUCAACAUCAUACCUUUUAGCAUUAUUUCUAUAGAAAAAACAAUAGAAAUGAGUUUACUCCAACAGGAAAUCAGUCAAGUUGCUUUACAUAUUCUCUGUCGCAACAAUAUUGCAAGAAGUCCUACAACAUAAACAAGAUGAUAGGAAAUAGAGAUUUUAAUCCUUCAAGUCAUCCAUGUUUGUUUCAAGGGACUGCAAUCCUUGCACUAUAAACUUAUUUCUCCUUUUAUUAUACUUUAACCUUAAGGUGUCCCGUGAAUUACAUCUCUGUCAAUCAUUUACUUCAUUUUGAAUGUGAUUAUAAUACCUAGGGCGAGGGUGGUAUUAAAUAAUACCCUUAGAAUACAAAGUGGUCAAAACUUAUUCAUGAUUAUCUUGCAAGGAAAAUAUAAAUUCAGGUACAUGAAGAUGAAACUGACCAUGUCAAAUUGAAACUGAAUGUUUCUUCAACACGGAAUUUGUUAGAAUCCUUAUUCCUGAUUCCAGGUAGCAAUAGACCACCAUCACCACUGGCACUGCAGGGAGUCCUAUAUCAUCCAAAUUGAAUAUAAAAGAUAUUAUAUACUCUUGAUAUGCAAUCCCAAAAGAAAAAAACACUUCUGAAAAAGCAUUGGGUCUCCAUAAAAGUAUCAGAAAGAUAUAUUUAUCCUUUCUUGAUGAAGCAAAUCAAGCAGCAUAUUUUUUCUUUAAAAUCGAGUGGUGUAAACUAUACCUGUUACAAUAGAGAAAUUCUAUAGAGAAAUUCCCAAAAUUAAACAUAUUGAGAGCCCUCACAGCCCAAGCACAACAACGACAGUAUAAAAAUCUUAAACAUAUGAUCUGAAACCACCCAGUGGGCCUAUAGUAAUGCAUAACCAAGAAAAGAAGAAGCUCCAAUCAAAUUGGCAUCAUGACAGAUAAAAGCAACAUGCAAUUAAUAAUCAAACAGGCAACUCCAACAUCUGUAGUGGAAAAGAGUACUACUAUUCUCUGAGGUUUAGGUUGUUAAAGUUCGAGGACUAGCAUGAUUACAGAACAUUUUGUUCUGUCAAUCAGUUCACAAAAGCAAAGAAUAAUAUCCUUGGUCGUCUAACACUGAAUUCAAUAUUAAAUAGCUCAGAAAAUAAAGCUCGAGCAAUGGAGGACCUUUACUACGGAAUGAUAUGCUUCUAAAGUCAGCUAUUUGUAAGGUGAAAAGUUCAGAAUUGAAGUUUUUUCAGUAAUCCAAAGGUCCCUCCAUUGUUUAGAGGCAAGAAUUCCAGAAUGGGGCAAUAGAAUUAUUUGCUUUAUGAUAGUAGUUGAGAACUAAAUCUCGCAUAUAAUAUAGAAGUCGUAUACGUCACAGUUAUUUAUUGGUAAGCAAAUGUAUUUAAAGUAUUUAGGACAUACUUUCCUGUUAUUCCAAUAUGUUCAAAGGAAUAUAUAAAUUAUCUAUUAGUGUAGUCAAAUUUGCUCUUCACGUUCUGGUGAUACUAAACCUAUACCUACGUAACUAAAUAACAGAUUGUCAACAUUAAGGUCAUGCAAGAACUAUAAUGUUUGUUUCACCAUAGUCUUAGCUAGGAAGUCUAUACAUGCAAGUACUAGAGAGAUUUUAGCUUGAGCUUUUGAAAUAAAUUAGGCAUCUUUAUAAAGAAUGUUAGUUACUUCAUAAAAUGAUCUUGGUUGAGACAUUGUAAGCUUCAAACUACUAUCUGUUAAACACUUGAUGAACAUAUAAUGUACUUGCAGAAUUGCUGUCAAGAACAUUAUUUUUCUUUCUCUAAUGGUACUAAUAGUCUAAUAUAGAUAUGUACAGAUAUCAUCAUAUGAAGUGAAUCAUGAUGUGGAAGCCCAAAUUUAAGCUGAAAUCUGUACAUAAAACCGGUGAAGGCCUGAAGGGUAUAUACUUAAUUCACUUUGUGUUAGAUUUACUUCGGAGGGUGGGCUUACAUAUAUACGCUAAACUCUAAUGGAAAGUGCAACAUGGAAUGGAAUGAGGGAGAAAUAGCCCUUAAACCCUUUCAUCAUAAAUAACCGAUCCCACCCCAGAAGGAUCCUCCCAACCGAAAUCAUUCAUAUUUUUGCUGAUAUUAUUAUAAUUUAUUUCUAUAAUUUGGUGAAUCAAAGAGCAGCAACAAAAACAGAAAUAGAGCAUGUUAGAAUACAAAACACAAGCGGCACAACCAUCUAAACAACAAAUAUGAUUUAAUUUUCCACUCAAGCAAUCAAAUGAAGCCCAAAAAUCUGCAGCUAUUGUAUUCCUAAUUCUAUCCGUUAAGAGUGCAACCAGGCCCGCCCAGAGGGAGGGCAACCAGGGCGACCGCCCGGGGCCCAAAAAGUUAAGGGGCCCAAAAUUUGUAUAAUUUAUGUAUUGUUAUUAGUAUAUAUAAGCCUAUUCUAUCUUAAGUGACUACGUCCAUAACUAAACUAAUGGCUAUCAUUCAUGCACUAAGAGAUAAAUGUCAUCAAACAUUUGUUUAAUCUUCUUUUUUUACAUCCGGUACACUUUAUUGUUUUAUAGUUAUUUUCUUACGGAAGUUGACUAAAAUUUGAGUUUGCAUUGCUACAAGGUCAUAUUUUAUCAAAUUUAGUAAAGUAAAAAAAAUUAGGGCCUAUUUUCUUCUUUCGCCCCAGGGCCCUCAAAAGGUAUGGAACGGCCCUGAGUGCAACCUGUAUAUAUAUGAAUUAUAUUAUCUUAUCGAGAUUUGGAAUAGAAUGAAUAUCUUAAGUAUUUAUCAAGCAUCACAUUUGAUAAGCAUAUACAACAUGUAAUUGAUGAAACCAAUUCAACAAAUACAUACACACAUGUAUAUAUAGACAUAACAAAAACGAAUUGCAAAAUAAUCACAUAUCAGAAAACACAAAAUGAGCAAAUCAUCGAGAUAUCAGAUAUGUUUGACAAUUGGGGGAUUGAAUAAAUAAUGAAAAACAGGACAAUUAAAAGACAAAUACGGUGAAAACAAAUUGAAAUAAAAAGUGAAUUAGAUCGAAAAUACGUACCUGAUAAACUGGGUGAGGUUGUUGAGAGUGAGAUUGUAAAUGAUGAUCCAGAAUUUUAACAAAACAAUGAAUCGGAAAUUAUAGUCGGAGAUGGAGAAGAUCCGUCGGGAAGAUACCAUUGGAAAAAUAGCCGUUGGAGGCGCAGUGUGAAAGCUCGCUGGCAGCAAAGCAGUAAAAGACCAGAGACCAGAGUACCGUUA
rnacentral:lncRNA from 1 species